CCUACGGGAGGCAGCAGUGAGGAAUAUUGGUCAAUGGCCGAGAGGCUGAACCAGCCAAGUCGCGUGAGGGAAGAAUGUCCUAUGGAUUGUAAACCUCUUUUGUCAGGGAGCAAAGUCACCCACGUGUGGGUGUUGGAGAGUACCUGAAGAAAAAGCAUCGGCUAACUCCGUGCCAGCAGCCGCGGUAAUACGGAGGAUGCGAGCGUUAUCCGGAUUUAUUGGGUUUAAAGGGUGCGUAGGCGGUUUUUUAAGUUAGUGGUUAAACGUCGGGGCUUCACCUUGAUUUGCCAUUAAUACUGUAAGACUCGAGUUCAGACGAGGUAGGCGGAAUAAGUUAAGUAGCGGUGAAAUGCUUAGAUAUAACUUAGAACUCCGAUAGCGAAGGCAGCUUACCAGACUGCGACUGACGCUGAAGCACGAGAGCGUGGGUAGCGAACAGGAUUAGAUACCCCUGUAGUC
rnacentral:rRNA from 1 species